UACGUAGGGGGCGAGCGUUGUCCGAAGUUACUGGGCGUAAAGCGCGCGUAGGCGGGGGGUUAAGUGAGAGGUGAAAGGCUGGGGCUCAACCUCAUGCAGUGCCUCUCAUACUGGCCUUCUUGAGGGCGGUAGGGAGAAGUGGAAUGGCUGGUGUAGCGGUGAAAUGCGUAGAUAUCAGUCGGAACACCGGUGGCGAAGGCGGCUUCUUGGGCCGUUCCUGACGCUGAUGCGCGAAAGUGUGGGGAGCGAACAGG
rnacentral:rRNA from 1 species